UACGUAGGGAGUAAGCGUUGUCCGGAAUCAUUGGGCGUAAAGCGCGCGUAGGCGGCCCUGUAAGUCCGUUGUGAAAGUCAAAGGCUCAACCUUUGAAAGCCGAUGGAUACUGCAGGGCUAGAGUCCGGAAGAGGCGAGUGGAAUUCCUGGUGUAGCGGUGGAAUGCGCAGAUAUCAGGAGGAACACCAAUAGCGAAGGCAGCUCGCUGGGACGGUACUGACGCUAAGGCGCGAAAGCGUGGGGAGCGAACAGG
rnacentral:rRNA from 1 species